rnacentral:rRNA from 1 species
GUACUGAGACACGGACCAGACUCCUACGGGAGGCAGCAGUGAGGAAUAUUGGACAAUGGGCGCAAGCCUGAUCCAGCCAUGCCGCGUGCAGGAUGACGGUCCUAUGGAUUGUAAACUGCUUUUGUACAGGAAGAAACACUGGUUCGUGAACCAGCUUGACGGUACUGUAAGAAUAAGGAUCGGCUAACUCCGUGCCAGCAGCCGCGGUAAU